AUUGAACGCUGGCGGCAGGCCUAACACAUGCAAGUCGAACGAGUGGCGGACGGGUGAGUAAUGUCUGGGAAACUGCCUGAUGGAGGGGGAUAACUACUGGAAACGGUAGCUAAUACCGCAUACCAUCGGAUGUGCCCAGAUGGGAUUAGCUAGUUGGUGGGGUAACGGCUCACCAAGGCGACGAUCCCUAGCUGGUCUGAGAGGAUGACCCGCCACACUGGAACUGUGACACGGUCCAGACGCCUACGUGAGGCAACAGUGGGGAAUAUUGCACAAUGGGCGCAAGCCUGAUGCAGCCAUGCCGCGUGUAUGAAGAAGGCCUUCGGGUUGUAAAGUACUUUCAGCGGGGAGGCGUUACCCGCAGAAGAAGCACCGGCUAACUCCGUGCCAGCAGCCGCGGUAAUAC
rnacentral:rRNA from 1 species